rnacentral:tRNA from 1 species
GGGGGUGUAGCUCAGAUGGUAGAGCGCUUGCUUUGCAAGCAAGAUGUCAGCGGUUCGAUUCCGCUCAUCUCCACCA